CGCGGCCAGCCUCCUGGCGCCAUUUUGUGUGAGGCUCUUUCCCAUUUUAGGCCGUGGGAGGAAGGCGGCAGGAGUGGUCUGUGCCCCUCUGGCGGGGGGGCGGCGGCGGCGGGAGGCCUCUUCCCGCACUCCGAGGAGGCCGGGCUUUCCCCACUCCUCCCAGCGCCACCCCCGCGCUCUGCGGUGCCGGCGGCCGCGUCUCGUCCUCUGCCGCGGCCGUGGCGCAGCGGUGAGCGGCGCCCGGCCGGGCCCGGAAGUGAAGCGGCGGCGACCGUUGGGCUGCGGCGACGCGCGCGCCUCUGGCGGCGCGCGGUGUAACCGCUUCCCGCGACCGCUGGGCCCGCCGGGAGGAGGCGAGCGGCGCGGCGAGGCGCGGACUCCGCGGCGGCAGGGCUUCGCCCCGUCCUCUGCCCCCGUCGCUGCCGAGCGCCCUAGCAGAGACGCCGCCGGGGCUGCAGGUAGGGGCCGCAGGCACUGCCCGUGCCGCUUUCCCGGCACGGCUGGUGCGGGCAGGGCAUGGGGUGGCUGCGCUUCCCUUCCGCGGCGGAGCGCGUUGCCCCAUCGCUGUUAAUCAUCCCCUCCUGCCCGUGACGCACUUGGGGCGAAGCGUGGGGAGGGGGACGUGACCGGCUCUUGCUGCUUGGUCGCUUCUGCACAUGGCAGUGGCGCUUGUGAUUGCUUUCUGGCCUCUCGCCAGGCGGCUGAGGUCAUCUCUUCGCAGGAAGAUGCAGCAAGGACACGGGAAGACGGUGGUGGUGACUGGGGGCUGAGUAGGCCUAAUGCAAAAAAAAAAAAAAAAAAAAAAAAAAAAGUAGCCGUAGUCCUGUCCAUUCCUUCAGUGUCUGUGAUGGAAACUCUCUAAAGGUACAGUCUUAGGAGGCAGGAAAUAUAUUCGAGUUUUAAUAAUAGUUUCCCAUUUUGACUUCCUAUAUAAAACUCGAUUGUAAUGUAGCUCCUGUGUUUUCCAUAGAGUAAUGAGUGUGUGCUUCACAGCUCUCAUUCCCUGCAUCAUGACAUGCCUUGGGUCUGCCUAAAACAGCAGUGGUGGGACCUGUCAAUAUAGUUUAGAGGGCCUCUGUGCCAAUAUUGACAGAAAUGAACUGUUAGCUUAGGAGCUGUUUCCAUUUCAAUUGCGAUUUCAGUUUUUUGGGUUUUUUUGUUUUUAUCUGAUACUUUAGAAAGAAGCAGGAAAAGGGACAAUUCUCUAGAGAAUUUAGUCAGCAUUGGUGUACAGUAUGGAUAAGUUUUAGAGAUGUAGAAAGGGUUAAUGCAAGGGUAGAUUUAACUGGGUAGUUAAGGGUAGAUUUGAGUGGGAAGGGUAACUAACUUUCUGGUGUUUGGAUCUAAGUUGCAAAUACAAAGAUGCUUGAAGCUGUAUACAAAAAUGUAUAAAGGCUUGAGGGAUUUUUUUAAUGUUGAGGGAUGUAGCGAACUUAUUUCUGUAUUGUAGUUCUCUUUUACAAAGAGAAUAAACUGAAGAGCUUAUUAUUGUUUAGAAUAUAUUAAGUUAAAUCAUACUGUUAGCAAAACUUUAAAAAAUCCACUUUAAAUGUGAACUUUUGAUCUCUGUAAACCAUGGAAUAUAUUGGACAGAUAUAUUAUAACUUAAAUUGGGAUUGAGGCUGCAUUUGUAUCUCUGUGCUAAGUAUAGUAUCACUCAAUAAAUAACAGCUCAUGAUGAAACGAAUCAGUCUUGUUUCUGAUUUCUAGCAGAAAAAUCCUAGCCACCUGUGUGUAUCUGUUACAGCUAGAAUGUUUAGGCAUGUUAGCCAUCUAAUUACUGUGAGCAAAAGGACUUUUUUCCUAUAUAGCUAGUCAGCAGGAGGGUGACUUGUUCUUUUAUGGUAUUUAAAGCACCUAAGAAUGCCAAGCUAGGCAGCUUACCAAAUAGUCCAAACAUUCUGACACAACUUAGGGAUGAUGUCUACUAUAAUGGAAUGAAAUAAUACAAUAACGAAAUGGAAAAGCUGUGCUUUUGGCAAGGCAGAUAAGACUUUUAUUUAAAAUAACUUUUAAUUGGAAUAUGAAUUUCAGGGCUCAAAGUUACAUUAUGAUAUUGAAAUCCUACAUCUUAAAUGUAUGAUCUUAAAAGUAUGUCAGUGUUAAUUAACAGCUGUGAGACUUCAAGAUCUUUCCUCUCUCCCUAUAUUCCCUACCCCACCCCCAGAUAUUACAGGGAAAAUCUGAAAUGAGUGGAGGAAAAAAUGAGCAGCAGACUUUUCUGUCACGAACUAGUUUAUCAUCCAGACUUAACCUUUUUGGGAAAAGUUACAAAAUGAGACUGAAUCAUAUAAAUAGAUGACACUCUCAGUGGUGGUUGAGAAGCAUCUGCCUUGAGGUUCAGAACAUCUGUCUCUGUGAAACUGCUGCAUUUCUGUACAACUGAAGAGGUCAGCUCUAUGCUUGCCACAGAGCUUUAUUGUCUAAGUAAUAGUAUACUCAGAGAGAAGUGUGUCAAGAAGAAGUUAAUUACUUAAUGUCCAGAAAUGGGGGGGGGGGGAGAAGAAUGUGAAAGUUGACACCACAAAGUUCAGUAAAUGGUAGCUGGUUUAUAAAAAUGAAAGGUUAAACCUUCUUUCCUAGUCAAGGAAAAAAAUUGUGCUUUACUCUUAACCAGUAGCAGUAAGUUCCAUAUAUAUGUGUAUGUGUAUAUACAUACACACAUAUAUGCAUAUACACAUACAUAUGUUUUUAUAUAGAUGUAUCUUUUGGUAAUGCUAAAUGCUUAUACAGUUUACACAGCUCUGCACAUUCCUGUCUCUGUGUUCCCCAAAAUGGAUAUUUAGUUAUUCAAAAUCAAACUUAAUUGUGCAUCCUAUUUUUCAUGAUUUUGUUGUGUGUUACUGAUGUGGAAGUCACAAUGUGUAGCAGUGCUUAAGAAGCCUGAAUUAGUGCAUUAUAUUCCCUGAAGGUUACUAGUGCUUUCCUGGGUCUGUUAUGGGUAUGUUUUGCAGCAGUGCAGUAACUUCUGGAUAUGGAUAGUCAUGAAAAUUAAAACAUAAUGCUUUGUGUGAAAAAGUCUGAGAGAGAGAGAUUUCUAGUCAGCUCUGCAGCUAACAGUAGUACUCAUUUUGUAGUUGCUCCCUCAAGUAACAUUAGUAAAAUGAUGAUAUGUGCUCAGCUUGAGUCGAGUAGCUCUUGUUAGAGGCUUCAGAUAUCUCCAGGGAGAAGUACUCCCAUUUUUACUGAAUAAACUAUGUCCAGGCUGUUAGCUUUGUGGCUGCAGUUCUUAACUAUAAUCUUGCAUGUUAUAAAAUGUGUGCAGAAAUUAGUGAUGCAUCAACUGAUCUGCGUUAUUAGCAGCCUAGCACCAAGAGAAGAGGUAUUAGUUCUCAACUGAUUUAACUGCUGCUUUCCUUCUAGCCUGUUAGUCUGUGGAGGGGUUUUGGCAUGUAUUAUGCAGUCUGUUAAUUUGAAACAUACAAUGUUUCUUUUUUAAGACUGAUCUGGUAAUCUUGUGUUUGGACGGAAUAAGAACUAUUUAUUGCAAGAGACUAUUUUCUCUGGUAUGUAAUUUUCUAUUAGGAUAGCUAAUAUAUUUGUAUGAAACAUUAACUAAUUGAGCUACUAUGGAAGGAGAGUGACAUAGCCAAGGUUUACUUAAGAUAGAACUCCAAAGCCAAUUUGCAUGCUAUUGCCACGUGUUAUUAAAUUACCUGAAUAUAGAUGUUUAAUUUCUCAUCUGUUGCCUGGCAAAUAAAUACAAGAUAGGUAGUUUGAUUAAAAAUCACACUACAUUAGAAUCAUUUCUAAUGACUACAGCUUCACAUCAGUGAGGCUAUUACAACUAUAUUAGAGAAGUAAGAGCUGAUUCUUUGGUCUUUAGUGUGCCAGUGCAAAACACUGGUGUACAGUACUACAGAGAAGAUGGAGAUCUGCACAGCAGGUUUGUAAGCCGGGUGCUGUAAUUACCUUCUUAAAUUAUCAGCUUUACUUCAAAUGUGGCAAAGGACUUCAGUUAUCAUCAUCUGGAAACAAGUGAUCAGUCUGUCCUUCUAAAUUUUAAGUAAAUACUUGAAGUCAAAUGAGACGAUUCAGUUGUUAUUCUGGCUGGUACUGUACUUCAUAUGACUGCUGAAGGAGAACAUCCUUGUAUGCAUUUUUCAGAAUAGCAGUUUGUCUGUGAAUGCCAGUAGUAAAGGCAAAGGAUGAGCUCUGUCAUUAGCGAGUAAUCAAACCUUCUGUUUCAGGAUUUAUAAAUAUUUUUUUGUCAUGCACAAGACACUGGUUAGUACUAGAAACGUACCUUGUGCAUGUACACGUAUGGGUUAUCUUAGCUUAUCAGCCAUUCGGUAUUGUAAACUUUAAUUUUUAAAGCUCUUUGGAUUUAACUGGCUUCCAAAAUCUCUCUACUGCAUGCAACUUAAAAACAUUUUUUACCUGGUUUCUGAGUUGUAGUUAAAGAUGCUAUUACUGAUGUAAACGCUUGAUCAGCAGAAGUUUGGAUCUAAAGAGAUCUCUUUCAAGGUGAGAUGUUUUUAUACAGGAUUGAAGGAAUGGUUUGCUAAUGUGUAAAUUUAGUCACUAGUCUGCAUACAGAAUAAAAGCGACUUUAGUAUUCCUGUGUUGAAAAUUUUUAAGCUUACACCUAAAUCUCCAGAUAUUCUGUAUUCUUCUUAAUAGAAUAAGAUUUUGUUUAGAGCUACUAGUGCUUGAGUCACCACCCAUCUAAAUCAAACAUAUGUGGUGAAACUUGAAUGCAAAAACUGUAUUUGUGGGAGUGGCUGUUCCAUAUUUCAUUGCUAUGAAAAUUAACAGGAGAAAAAAAAGUCUUAAACUUUAGCACUUAAAUGAGGUUGCAUGCUGUACUCAAUCUUACUGGAAUCUUCUGAAUAACCUAAGUGUCUGAAAUAGAAGGUAUUCCUGUAUCUGCCUUGGAGCAACUGUGUGUUUACUUCUUCAGCCUUUUGUGAUACCAGACUGAGUAAAUGUAUACUGAAUGGGUGUUUAAUGUUACUCAUAUCUAAGAAGUUGACUGGUGCUGAACUUGGAGUACUCAAGGAGGCUGUUGUUUCACUUUGGCAAAGAGAAGUGACUUCUGUUGGAUCAUUCUCUCCAUAUCUGUGCUGGAAGAUUCAGGGUUUUCUUGGAUUUUGCUUUUUCAAAAACAAUUUUCUGAAUGAUUUGUCAUGGCCAAUCUGAAGUAAGAAUCUUAUAUGCCUUUGUUAUCUGUUGGUAGCUUGUAUCUUGGAAGGCUUCCCCCCCCCCCCCCCCAAUAAGAUUCCUUUCUGCAGAAGUAGCUAUGUUUAAAAAGUACAAGAGGAAAUAAAGCUGUUAUGGAACUAUGCUCCCAUAUACACAGGCUUUUUCAAACACUGGUAAGUGGCUUGUUCAGUUUGGAUUUUUACUAAAAUACAUCUAUUCACAGUUGUUGUAAUACCUAAAGGACAAAUAAAAUAUAGCUGUAAUAUUGAUGGUGAGUCCUUGCACUUAGUGCACUCGUUACAUAGUUGUCACUUUCAAGCUUGUGGAGGUUCAUAAGCUGUUGAUUAAAAUGAUGGAUUGUUACAGACCUAAAAAAGGGUUGUAAAGCAACAUGAUCCCAUCAAAAUGGGGCUGUAAGUGCACAGUCCCUUCUUACCAGUUUCCAGAAAGCGGUGUCUGUGCCAUUAAUUGCACGCAGCCUGGCAUAAAGAAGGAACAACUACUUCCUCGAAGGCUGGGUAUUCAGCACAAGGAAGCCUGUGAAGGCAGUAGUUACAUGGCCUUUCUUCUAAGGCUUUUGCUUGUCUAAAACACUUGAAGCAAUCAUAAGUGAUUAAUUUUUCAGUGUUGGUUAACAAGACUGCACUUGGUCACUAUUGAUUCUUUUUUUAAAAAGUAUUAAUGCCAUUAGUCUUUUGAGCUAAGUGUUAUUAGCUGCAAGUAGCUGCUGUUGGUGAGAAACUACAGCUUGGUGACAGUGAUUAAAUUCUGAAAGUCUUCCUACUUACACUUUCUUUUUGAAAAGAGAUUUUUUCAUUUGUAUAUAUUUAAACAGUGUUACUACUGGUGGCAAACUUCCAAGUGGCCAGUAAACAUAAAGAACUAUCCGAUGACUAAAUAUGCUAGGGCACUUGAGCUGUGAAUUAAUUGCAGGACAUAUGUACUGUUUGCAGGAGGUCUUUAGCUUUGGGAAUAUGCUUUCUCCUGUCAGGAACUUCAGCUCUGUGUAGGCUGCCACCACCUUAGCUGCAUCCGUACAGCUGCACUGUAAACAGAACUACUGAAAUGAUCUGUGCUGUUACUUCUAGAAUUGUGAAAGAAGAGAAUACAUGUCUUUUCUGGAGAGUUAAAUUAAUCUCGAUCAAAGAAGUGACUUUUUAUUUGUGUGGUGGUGGUCUCCUCUAUCAUCUUGCAAGCAGCACAAUAGAAUGACAACCUUGUGAGAGUACAAAUGACAAUUUGGCUGGGAGAUUAGUGGCUUGUUAAACUGGCUUUCUUUCUCAUGCAGAAAACACACUAAGCUUCAUCUCGGUUCUGCCUCCUAAUACAGUAUUUCAUAUUUCUCUUUUUAAUUAUUCUUGAUGUAUAGAGAAAUGAAUGUGGGAAAACUGGCCUCUCAAAGUGAUAUACUUUGCAGAGUGUGGAAAAACCUAGAAUGAGAGCUGAAAUUAACCUUUAUAUAAAAGUGUUCUGUUAAAGUCAUCUAGCACUUCCUUUGUUGCUCUUGAAACCUGUUAGUGCUGUCUAAUGUAAUGGGUCUCUGUCUUACCCUAAAUGAUGACAGUAACAGAUUCCUGCUUUUCCAAAAGCCCUGUGAACAAUAUAAGCUUCACUUUCAAGAAUUUCAUGGUGAUAGAUUUAGGCAUCGCUCGACUUUUUUGUUUUUAAUAUUUUUUAAUAAUAUAUCAACUUCCAGGUGCACUUGCUAUAACUUAACUUACCAUUAGUAAAACCUGCUGCUGAAAGUGGAAUCUUAAUGAUCAUAGUGUGUUUACCAUGUGUUCUGGAUAUGCAGACUAUACAUGUCAUCCCAAAUGAUACCUAACUUUAUGCAGCAGUAAACUGGUCCGUAUGCUUCUCAAACUCCUAUUUGUCUUGUCUUACCAUGUCAGUUAAAAUGGUAUUUUGAGUAGACAGUUCUUAUGCUGUCUGUAGGGGAGAUUCCAGGGAACUUCAAAUUUUUCUUGUAUCUGACUGCAUGUACAUGUUUGGACUAUGAACUAUGAGAGGCUGCUUGCUGCGUUAUUCUAGCUGUCCAUUUUUGGUUGGCCCUGCUAUGGGUAAGAACCAUUUUUAAACAACUGUUUCAGAGUCCUUUAAUAGGAGUGUACUGAAGAUGAAAGAAGAACACUGCAUGAGGGUUGCUUAGCCCAUCUGGAAAUGGGAGACUUAGUUUGAGCUUGGUUGUAGAUCCCAUGUUCUCAAAUACUAAAACAUAUUUAUUGGCCAGAUAAUAAGGUUAUACCCUUACCUCUUCUACAGUCUGUUUUCUGCCUCUUUGUAUAAUUGGAUAUAAUCAGUAGCAAGAUCUUCUGAAAGUUAAGAGCAGUUGGUGUCUCAGAAUAGCUCUCAGUUCUAAAGCGAAAGUAACUUCCUUUGCUGCAUGUAACUUGAAAAACGGGUGGGUGGAGGAAAAAGUCCUUGUCUUACAGACAUAUGCAACUGAAGGAAGAAAAUGAGGGGGAGGGAACAGUCUCCUUACUGUAUUUUUGGUACUAUUUCAAAAUUACUAUGACAACUAACAUUUUCUAUUCUUCUCUUUAGAAUUCUGAAACUGCACUUUAUUUAGAGGUAGUGAUUAUCUUGACUUAGAGCUGAUAAGUGUGUAAGAUGUGUAGCUGAAUUUGCUGUUUUGUGUUCCCUUCUAUGGUUACAGUUUUAUCUUAAAGAAAAGCAUUGCAAUCCUGUGGAUGUAGUUAUCCCAAAGCUACUUCUUUAACCAUGACUUAUGCUAUAUAGCCAGAUAGCAUCUCAAACAUUAAUAUGUCUAUAUGCACAGUCACGCAUCAAGUGUGUGAGCUUUUUAACCUUAAGCCAGCAAGCUAUUUUUGGUGGUGGGAAAGAAGUAAUAAGUGACCUGAUGCUUGGCAUAUGUCAGAUCUGAACGAGACAAAUCAUGUUUGAAAUGUUUCCUUUCUGAGGAAUACAGAUUAGUAAUUUUUUUUUUUUGGGGGGGGGGGUAUCCUUAUGUACAUCUUCCUUGCUAGAAACUUUUUUGUAUGGAUUAAUGCUUCGAUCUGUUCAAACAGCUCAAUCUUCCAUAGCUUCAUCAGCAGUAUUAAUCACUUGUAAAGAUACUAUCCAAAACACUAAUUUUUAAGGCCAUGUAAAAGCAGUACAAACAAUGGAAAUUAUGAUUACCCUGGUGCUGCAGUCCAAACAAGAUUUUUAAACAGUGCAAGUCCAAUUGCAUAUUCUGAAAUCUUUCUUGGUACAGUCAUGCAUAUGUAUGUAAACUAGAUACUGGUGAAUGCAUCUUGUCACCUUCAGAGUUCACCUUUGUCCCCGUUUCAAUUUCUUGAAUAAAGCUUGUGUGUGUGGAUUUGUUGACUAAAUUAUAACAACAGGAAGUGUGACAUGUCCAGUCCUAUUAAAUACCGGAGUAAUGAUUCAUCAGAUGGUGAAUAAUAACAGUAAGUUGAUGUGUGAGACUUAAGGAGAGGAAGCAUCUUACUGCACAUUCUACUCAUUUCAUUGUUGGAUCUGUGCACUUCUAAAAUGUGUCUCUUGGUGGAAGGAUGACUUUAAGCUAAGAAACAAGUUGGUUUAUACAGUCUUAUUUUCUGGUGUUCUACUGAACAUGUGGUUUGGGUCUGAAGCAACAGUGUAUGGCAUUAAAAUGCUGAAGUUAUGUGCUUCAGAAUGGCAAGAAAUACAGCUAUGUGUUCCAACUGGGUAUUUGACUUUCUGCUCUAUUAUGUAUUCCCAUAAAUGGCCAGAGUCUGGACUGUGUAGAUUACUUGAAGCCUGAAGCAAAAAGAAAUGCUGCUUGGUAUGAGCCUAAUUUUGCAUUUCUGAUAUUUUCAAAACUGAAACUUUUCCAGUGCUUUGGGCAGAAGUAAUCAAAUUAGAUGGUAAAAGCAGGCAUUACCUCUUGCUGAAACCUUUCAUUCAGAACUUUUUACUCUGCUGAGGGCACAGUUGUUAGCCUUUGUCACAUUUCACUAUAAAGUGAAGUUGAAAUCAACCACUGUCAGACUAUAGAAGCUAAUUUUCAUUUCGGGAACAGGAGCCAAGCCCUGCUUUUGUGAGAUAGCCUGCUGAUUCUGCUGUUAAUUAAGGUGGUUCUGGGAGCCUUCAGAUGUCACAGUUGCUGACUGCUGCAGUUAGUUAGGUCUAUCAUAUUGGGCCUGCAUGUGCUACAAGCGUCUCUGAACCAAGUCAGCCAACUGCCAUGUUAAGAAGUGGCUCACUACUCAAAACUGGUGAGACUUAAGUAGGAGCAUGAGGUAUAUUCAGUCUCAAAGAGCAGCUUUUCUGGAGCUCCAACUCUGCAGAGACUGAGUGUAUGUGUUUUCUCCAGGCAUCCCCCACUGCUGAAGCUAUAGAAGAUUGACUGAAGCUUUCAAAUCUUUCUUUGCUUUAGUCACUGAUCAGCUGUCUGUUCUCUGGGCUCACCUCAGACUUUCUCCUGGAUAUGAUUUAAGCCCAGAGAGGGAGGGAGUAUCUACAAUAGUUAGAUCUUUCUGGUUGUUUGUAUCCUUAAAAACACACAAACAAAAAAAAUCCCCACCUAGCUUCUAGUAGAGGUCCUUUUUUAAGUGCUGAGAUUGAGUAUCCUUAUCUCUGCUCUUGUUCUGUAACAGAUACAGUCCUCCCUUAAAUGAUGAUCUCAGAUCCAGCUUUUGCCCUGCUGGAUCUUAGUUUUCACAGAGUGAUUUGCCUGAGACAGUUUUAUGUAUUAAAACAAAAAAACAAAAAAUGCUCUCCAGUAUUUAUUCAAGUUUAAUGAUGCUGUGCUGUCCCACUGCAUUCCUAAAUUUUAUAGUCAUUGUUGUUGUGACUGGCCGUGUAAACUACUUCCUUCUUCUGGAAGACUUCAUCCCCUGUUCUUGUUAUUUGGUACUGCGUUUCAAGCAGUAUAAAUAAUACAAAGUUUGACUGUGGUCAUAAUUCAUAUCCACUAGUUUGCAGUAGCAAAAUUCAUUAAAAUUAGAAUUUAUCCCAUAAGCUGUGGACUAAAGUAGUGAAACAUUAUGAAGGUUAGUGCACAAAUUCAUAGUUAAUCAUUAAGUAACUAGCUUCAAAGUAAUGAUAAAAGUUAUAUUUGUUAAAUGCAAUGUGGUUGUAUCACUCUAUCCCAUUUGGCACUUCUCCUGCAAAUAGGUUAAGGCUAUGAAAGUAGCUGUAAUAGGGAAUUUGCAGCAGUUUUUCUGUUGAAAUGAGGAUCCUUCUGGAUUACAAAUAACAGCCAAACCUCCCUAAUCCUUCUUGUUUGUUAAAAGGUAGCAAUGCUUAAUGCCACUUCAGUAGAAGUCAGCUAGCUUUCUACUGCUUCAAAAGUUAAGGGGAAUAUUGAUACUAGGAAUAGCUUAUUCAGUGUUUGUCCUGCUCUUUUAUCUUUGACCCCCUGAAUAAAUGCAACUGUUUUUUCCAAAUAAGGCACCACUCAUUUCUUUUGCUUCCUUCCCUAUUUGCAGUCAGUGGAAGUGGAAAUAACAGGUGCUUUUCCUUCCCACAGAUGAAGAUCAGUUCGUACGUAGCACAGUAAACAGCUAGAGCCUACACUCUUGACAACUCAGUUACAACUUAAUUUGGAAACAAAAACUGACAGCAAUGAUCACCUUGGUAUCACUUAACUGAAUGUUGCUAUGACAAACAAGACUGCUAUGCAGCAUUUUGUAUGGGUUGUUAUAAACUGGAAUUUCAUAGGCUCUUAAAUUGCUUCUCAUUAUAGAAAGGUGUAUAAUUAUUCCAACAUGCAAUAAAUUAAAUCAUGCUUUUUCUUCAAAGAAGCUUUUUAAAUGCCCUGUUCUCUGAUAAGUAUCCAGUUUGAGAUUAUGAAUGGGAAGGGAGGUGGUUCUGUUCCUAACCUUAUUUUUCAAGUAUUGUGCAACACCUAUCCUCCAUUUCAUCUUGCAAAUAUGCACACUUGAUUUUGCUCUCCUCUCAUUUAACCCAGAAACCUGAUUUAUGUGAACUGUUGUUACACUUCCUGUCCCUAAUUCUGAAUGGCUGUUACUUAAAUUGGAUAGAUGUGUGUAGCUACACACAUUUGCAUCUUAACUUUCCAUUUUGCAGUUUCAGCCAGCAGCGUAAUGCCAAAGACAUUCAGGAUGGGAAUAAAGUAGUUCUGUUGUCACAUACAGUGAGUGGAGUAUCAGCCCCCUAAGCUAAUGCUUUAGGCUGCUGACUUGAAUUUCCUCCCAGCUGGCUCCCACUGAUGACUCCAGCACCUGAAUCAGCAGUAAGUUUUAGCAGUAAGUUCAGUUGGAAGAAACAGCAACACAACUAAAGCCUGACUUGGUGUAACAACUCCACUGUUGCCUCAGGAGGAGGCACUGAAAGAAGCUGUCCAUCACAGUCAUGAUGAGUGUUAGCUCAAACAGGUCUGAUCUAGAGUUCUAGUAGACUUUAAUAGUUAUGCCCAGCUAGAAAGGCAGAAAAUUCAUGUAACUAAGCCUUAAGCCUGAGAUGGUCACAACAUAUCCACAACCAGAUUCUUUAAGCAACUUAUC